GAUGAACGCUAGCGGCAGGCCUAACACAUGCAAGUCGAGGGGCAGCGGGGUGUAGCAAUACACUGCCGGCGACCGGCGCACGGGUGAGUAACGCGUAUGCAACCUACCUUUAACAGGAAGAUAGCCCCGAGAAAUCGGGAUUAAUACUCCAUAAUAUAUACGAAUCGCAUGGUUUGUAUAUUAAAGUUUCGGCGGUUAAAGAUGGGCAUGCGUGACAUUAGCUAGUUGGUACGGUAACGGCGUACCAAGGCAACGAUGUCUAGGGGGUUCUGAGAGGAUUAUCCCCCACACUGGUACUGAGACACGGACCAGACUCCUACGGGAGGCAGCAGUGAGGAAUAUUGGUCAAUGGUCGCAAGACUGAACCAGCCAUGCCGCGUGCAGGAUGAAGGCGCUAUGCGUUAGUAAACUGCUUUUUCACAGGAAGAACCUACUUACGUGUAAGUAGCU
rnacentral:rRNA from 1 species